GUGCCAGCAGCCGCGGUAAUACGGAGGGGGCUAGCGUUGUUCGGAAUUACUGGGCGUAAAGCGCACGUAGGCGGACCAGAAAGUUGGGGGUGAAAUCCCGGGGCUCAACCUCGGAACUGCCUUCAAAACUAUUGGUCUUGAGUUCGAGAGAGGUGAGUGGAAUUCCGAGUGCAGAGGUGAAAUUCGUAGAUAUUCGGAGGAACACCAGUUGCGAAGGCGGCUCACUGGCUCGAUACUGACGCUGAGGUGCGAAAGCGUGGGGAGCAAACAGGAUUAG
rnacentral:rRNA from 1 species